rnacentral:lncRNA from 1 species
UUUGGAAAGGAUAUUGAAGUGGAGGCAAAUUAAUAUAUUUAUAUCUUUUUUACUUUAACUUGUGUUGUAAAGUAAAAUAAUUGUACAGUGAAGCUGGUAUUUUGUCGGCAAAGAAAUGGCAGAAAAUAUUUACCUUUUUUCUGUCAAAAGAAUCACAUUACAAAGAAUAACCAAUGGUGAUUAUUUAAUUCAGGUUUGGAUGGACUGGUGGUAAGGCUUAUUAGUAUUCGAAAAUUUAGCAAAACUGGUAGUCUGGUACUGCAGUUAUUGUAAGCUCUUGUAGUUUGAUGAUUUAAGUACAUGGAAAUAGGACAUAGAGAAUUACAUGACACAUGACAUCGACAUGGUUCAGCUUUCUGUAUCCGCUCAAUUUAAGACAAUAAAAUGUGUAGAUCGAAGUAAUAGAUGACAAACAUGAGAAAGCAGGCUUUUAAGUGCUAGAGUGUCAGAUUUUAGUGCGAGCACUGUAAGUUUAUCAAACUACUUUACGGUUUAAGUUUUCGAAAUGUCCCCAGGGACUGCGAAUCUCUGGAAUAGAUUAUUAUAAAAAGAGCCGCACCUUGACAACGAUCAUCACAAAUGCAACUGCAUAUAAUUUUUAAGUACACAGGGUCUACCUGGUGCAUGAAGUAAUCACUAGAGUAAUUACUUCCAAGAAGAAAGUAAGUGAUCCAAACGAACUUGGUAGCCUACUAAAGAAUCAACUACACAACACAGCCAUCAGUGCAAGCAUUUGUGAACAGGUUUGCAAAGUGAUAGACAUCAAAAGAACACACAAAACAGUUAACCCAAAACAGAACACACACACAAAACAUGACCUUCAUAAAAUACAACAAAAUCACCCUUCAUACCAGCUAUUGCUAGUCUGCAACAUAGAUGAUUCUGACACUUAUAUUCGACUAAAUAUAAAUAAUUGGUAGGUUAGGAUUCGAAAAUAAUGGAAAAAACAACUUUUGUUAAUAGAUUUUAACCAAGUCAAUAGGGAGAAAGCAUUUUGCUCACAUGUAACAGCUCAAAGCCCUAAUGGCAGACGUCGACACCCUUUCCCUGAUACGCGCACAAACAUGUGUCUGUUGAGCCUCGAACUCUCAAUUUCAUGUUUCCGGAGAAGAAAGAUAUCCACUAGGUUACGAUAUUAGUAAUACAAGUAACGGUACUGAUAUGGGGAGAGACUAACUAGUUAAAAGACUAUAGCAACCCUUUCUUCAUCCAGAUGUUAAGAUCAUUAUUAAGCAGAACAUCUCUCAACUACAUACCCAGAACAACGGAGUGUCAUUGUUUACACUCAUUAAUAGCACAUUUUUUUAUCAGUUUCCAUUAAAUUGCCAUUCUAGUUAACUCAUAUUUCCAAAAAUUUAUAAAUAGAAUGUAAAUUUUCAGAAACAUGUAUACAUACAUAUAUAUGUACAUACAUACCAGGAAUUUGAGAAAGCCCUCUUUUCGUAUGAACCCUAGUUUGGCAACCGAAGAAUCACCCAACAAAUUGAUGCAAUCACGACAACAAUUUGAACAAGCCCUCUUUUCGUAUGAACCCUAGGAAUUGCUUAAUCGACAACUGAUGCAGCCGGCGAAAUCAAGAUGGAGAAUUUGAAACUUAUAAGACUAUCGAGAUGAGAGUUAUAAGGAAGAGAUUGAGAUUGCAGGUACUAAUAAUUGAUUUGGUAUUUGAAAUAGCAAGCGAGACUGUGAAGUUGGAUAGGCGCGGGAUGAAAAAAUUGAAAUAGAGGCCGUUGGAGCCGUGUGCGAUGAAUUUUAAAUAUAUUUUAUUUAUUUUUUCAUCAUUUAUUAUGUUGGUUAAAAAAAUUGCUGAUACUAGAAAUUGUCGAGAUUUAGUUCACCGUCAUCGUCGUCGGUGUUUUGUCGACGACUGAUGCAAGAACUAAACUUAAA